rnacentral:rRNA from 1 species
GACGAACGCUGGCGGCGUGCCUAAUACAUGCAAGACGAACGCUUUUUCUUUCACCGGAGCUUGCUCCACCGAAAGAAAAAGAGUGGCGAACGGGUGAGUAACACGUGGGUAACGUGCCCAUCAGAAGGGGAUAACACUUGGAAACAGGUGCUAAUACCGUAUAACACUAUCUUCCGCAUGGAAGAAAGUUGAAAGGCGCUUUUGCGUAACUGAUGGAUGGACCGGGGGUGCAUUAGCUAGUUGGUGAGGUAACGCCUCACCAAGGCAACGAUGCAUAGCCGACCUGAGAGGGUGAUCGGCCACACUGGGACUGAGACACGGCCCAGACUCCUACGGGAGGCAGCAGUAGGGAAUCUUCGGCAAUGGACGAAAGUCUGACCGAGCAACGCCGCGUGAGUGAAGAAGGUUUUCGGAUCGUAAAACUCUGUUGUUAGAGAAGAACAAGGAUGAGAGUAAAAUGUUCAUCCCUUGACGGUAUCUAACCAGAAAGCCACGGCUAACUACGUGCCAGCCGCCGCCGUAA